rnacentral:rRNA from 1 species
CCUACGGGGGGCUGCAGUAGGGAAUCUUCCACAAUGGACGAAAGUCUGAUGGAGCAACGCCGCGUGAGCGAAGAAGGUUUUCGGAUCGUAAAGCUCUGUUGCCGGAGAAGAACGAGCGGGAGAGGAAAUGCUCUUGCUGUGACGAUAUCCGGCCAGAAAGCCACGGCUAACUACGUGCCAGCAGCCGCGGUAAUACGUAGGUGGCAAGCGUUGUCCGGAAUUAUUGGGCGUAAAGCGCGCGCAGGCGGCUUCUUAAGUCUGAUGUGAAAUCUUGCGGCUCAACCGCAAGCGGCCAUUGGAAACUGGGAAGCUUGAGUACAGAAGAGGAGAGUAGAAUUCCACGUGUAGCGGUGAAAUGCGUAGAGAUGUGGAGGAAUACCGGUGGCGAAGGCGGCUCUCUGGUCUGUUACUGACGCUGAGGUGCGAAAGCGUGGGGAGCAAACAGGAUUAGAUACCCGAGUAGUC